AAUAAUAAUAAUAAUUAUUAUUAUUAUUAUUUGGUUGUUAAUUGCGUGAUUAAGGAGAGAGAUGGAUACAAUGGAUACCCCUGUAACUUCAGUUGUGUCAAAAUUGCAAAUGCUAAACACAUCUGAUCACGCCUCUGUUGUCUCUAUGAACUUAUUUGUGGCGCUUCUUUGUGCUUGUAUUGUGGUUGGUCAUCUUCUAGAGGAGAAUCGAUGGAUGAACGAGUCCAUUACGGCCCUUUUGAUUGGUGUAUGUACCGGGGUUGUUAUUCUGCUGGUUAGUGGCGGAAAAAGCUCGCAUCUUUUAGUCUUCAGCGAGGAUCUUUUCUUUAUAUAUCUUCUACCACCUAUUAUAUUUAAUGCUGGUUUUCAGGUGAAAAAGAAGCAAUUCUUUCGUAACUUCAUCACUAUCAUGCUAUUUGGUGCUAUUGGCACACUGAUAUCCUGUUCUAUCAUAUCUGCAGGUGCCAUAAAAUUCUUUCAGAAAUUGGAUAUUGGUCCACUGGAUAUAGGGGAUUACAUAGCAAUUGGAGCCAUAUUUGCUGCAACAGAUUCUGUUUG
rnacentral:misc_RNA from 1 species